rnacentral:rRNA from 1 species
UAAAGAAAGUAAGAAAGGGCGUAUGGCGGAUGCCUAGGCUCACGGAGGCGAUGAAGGACGUGAUAAGCUGCGAUAAGCUUCGGGUAGGUGCAAAUAACCCUUGAUCCGAAGAUUUCCGAAUGGGACAACCUAGCCGUCUGAAGGACGGUUACUCUUACCAAUGUAAGAGAGCUAACGCAGGGAACUGAAACAUCUUAGUACCUGUAGGAAGAGAAAAUAAAUAAUGAUUCCCCCAGUAGUGGCGAGCGAACGGGGAACAGCCCAAACCGUUGACGUCGCAAGGCGCCAGCGGGGUUGUAGGACCGCGACAUUGUAUGCAAAUCGUGAACAGAACACUUUGGAAAAUGUGACCAUAGACGGUGAUAGUCCAGUAUGUGAAGCGAAAUGCAGCAUAGCGGUAUCCUGAGUAACGCGGGACACGAGGAAUCCUGCGCGAAUCUGCCGGGACCAUCCGGUAAGGCUAAAUACUCCCGUGAGACCGAUAGCGAACGAGUACUGUGAAGGAAAGGUGAAAAGAACCCCGAGCAGGGGAGUGAAAUAGUUCCUGAAACCAUACGCCUACAAGCGGUCGGAGCAUCGUAAGAUGUGACGGCGUGCCUUUUGCAUAAUGAUCCUACGAGUUACCGUCACUGGCGAGGUUGAGUGUCACGAGACACGUAGCCGCAGUGAAAGCGAGCCUGAAUAGGGCGCACAGUCAGUGGGGGUAGACGCGAAACCAAGUGAUCUACACUUGGCCAGGAUGAAGUCCCGGUAACACGGGAUGGAGGUCCGCACCAAUAAGCGUUGAAAAGCUUCUGGAUGAGCCGAGUGUAGGAGUGAAAGGCCAAUCAAACUUGGAGAUAGCUCGUACUCCCCGAAAGGCAUUUAGGUGCCGCGUCGGAUGGUCACCGUGAGAGGUAGAGCGACCGAUAGGACAAGAGGGCUUCACCGCCUAUCGAGUCCUGACGAACUCCGAAUGCUCACGGUCUGCAGUCCGGCAGUAAGGGGGCGGGUGCUAAGGUCCGUCCCCGAGAGGAGAAGAAUCCAGACCGCCGUCUAAGGUCCCGGAGUUCUGCCUGAGUUAGUCUAACGAAGUCUGGUCCCUAUGACAGCUAGGAUGUUGGCUUGGAAGCAGCCAUUCAUUCAAAGAGUGCGUAACAGCUCACUAGUCGAGGGUCCGGGCAUGGAUAAUAAUCGGGUAUAAGGCAGACACCGAAGGCGCGGGAUAGCAAUUUUAAAAGUAUCGGUAGGGGAGCAUACUCACAGCGUCGAAUGGUGUACGUAAGUUAUCCUGGAGCGGUGAGUAAAGCAAAUGUAGGAAUAAGUAACGAUAAGGAGGGUUAGAUUCCCUCCCGCUGUAAGACCAAGGUUUCCCGGGCAAUGCCAAUCAGCCCGGGGUCAGUCGGGUCCUAAGUCUAAGCCGAACGGCGAUGGCGAUGGCAGAGACGGUUAAUAUUCCGUCACUGCCGCAUGGGGCGACGUGGAGACGGAGCAGUGAAACCACCGCGGGGCGACGGAAGUCCCCGUUGAAGAGUGUAGGCGUUGAGGAUGGCAGGCAAAUCCACCAUCCGAGCUGAACUUGACAGUA